UGAGUCAGAGCAGCCUGAGUUUCUCAGUAGGUGAAGGUUACUAGAUCUGGCAGACUGUAUGUGGUUCCUGAGGGAAGGCUGAAGUCAGAAGAGUAGCAAGAGAGGUUUGCUGGCUGGCAUGUCCAACUUGGAGAACCAGGGCUGAAGUUAGUUGUAUCCAAGAUCUGGGGCUUUAUAAAACCAAGAAAAUUUGUGACACUGUGACACAGAGUGGUCCCUGAAGCAUUCAGCCAGCCUUCUGUUAAUGUCACCUACUUGGUUAAGCUAGCAACUCUGUUAGCUGUCUAAAGGCCAUAGGAACAAGAGUGUUUUUUGGAUAAAAGCUGCUGAAAGAUUUCUAUGGU